CCAAAGGCUCUUUUAAGAGCCACCCACCUGCUCAUUGAAAGAGCUU
rfam:Phalacrocorax carbo contig6682, whole genome shotgun sequence.